rnacentral:rRNA from 1 species
UCUCUGAGUGGAGUUCCCAAGUAUGUCGGGGCACGAGAAACCUUGACAGAAUUUGCCGCGACCAUGCGGUAAGGCUAAAUAUGUUCAACUGACCGAUAGUGAACCAGUACCGUGAGGGAAAGGCGAAAAGAACCCCGAUGAGGGGAGUGAAAUAGAACCUGAAACCGUCAAUCUACAAGCAGUGGGACCGCUAUGGUUUACCAGCGGAACCGCGUGCCUUUUGCAUAAUGAGCCGGCUAGUUAUUUUCAGUGGCGAGGUGAAGCCGAGGAGGCGAAGCCGUAGGGAAACCGAGUCUGAACAGGGCGCCAGUCGCUGGGAAUAGACGCGAAACGGGAUGAUCUAUCCUUGACCAGGAUGAAGUCCGGGUGACACCGGAUGGAGGUCCGAACCAGUGUGGGUUGAAAACCGCUUGGAUGAGUUGAGGAUAGGGGUGAAAGGCCAAUCAAAUUCCGUGAUAGCUGGUUCUCCCCGAAAUAGCUUUAGGGCUAGCGUCGGAUGUUUCGUCGUGCAGGUAGAGACCUGAAUGGACUAGGGGGCACACCCGCUUACCGAAUCCAACCAAUCUUCGAAUGGCACGCCGUGAAGUCCGGCAGUCAGACAGUGGGCGAUAAGGUCCAUUGUCGAGAGGGAAAGAACCCAGAUCGCCAGCUAAGGUCCCAAAAUCUCUGCUAAGUGGAAAAGGAUGUGGAUGUGCUUAGACAGCCAGGAGGUUAGCUUAGAAGCAGCUAUCCUUUAAAGAAAGCGUAAUAGCUCACUGGUCAAGCGGGUCUGUGCCGACAAUUCAACGGGGCUCAAGCAGAGUACCGAAGCUGCGAACGUAAGUGGUAGGGGAGCAUUCCCUAGGCCUGCGAAGGUUGACCGUGAGGACAGCUGGAGGCAUGGGAAGAGACUCUGUCGGCAUAAGUAGCGUAAAGACGGGCGAGAACCCCGUCCACCGUAAGACUAAGGAUUCCAACGCAAGGUCAAUCCGCGUUGGGUUAGUCGGACCCUAAGCUGAGGCCGAGAGGCGUAGGCGAUGGAAAGCUGGUUAAUAUUCCAGCACCAUGAAUACCUCGUUUGUACGAUGCAGGGACGCAGAAAGGUAGUCGCGCAGCUCUAUGGAAUGUGCUGUGAAAUCUUUCAAGGGUGAGACUUAGGGAAGUCCGGGUCUCAUGAGCCCAAGAAUUAUGACGAAAGGCGAUGAUCCUACGCUGCCGAGAAAAGCUGCUAAGGAGAGGUAUUUGUGUCCGUACCGCAAACCGACACAGGUAGUCGAGGAGAGAAUCCUCAGGUGUUUGAGUGAAGUGUGCUGAAGGAACUCGGCAAAUUAACCCCGUAACUUCGGGAGAAGGGGUACCACGGUAGGGUUCAUAGCCCGAGGUGGUGGCACAUAAAUGUCCCAGGCGACUGUUUAACAAAAACACAGGUCUCUGCAAACUCCAAAGAGGAGGUAUAGGGGCUGACGCCUGCCCGGUGCCGGAAGGUCAAGAGGAGCGGUUAGCGCAAGCGAAGCUGCGAAUUUAAGCCCCGGUGAACGGCGGCCGUAACUAUAACGGUCCUAAGGUAGCGAAAUUCCUUGUCGGGUAAGUUCCGACCUGCACGAAUGGCGUAACGAUCUGGGAACUGUCUCCAGCACAUGCUCAGCGAACUUGUAGCACCGGUGAAGAUGCCGGUUACCCGCACUUAGACGGAAAGACCCCGUGCACCUUUACUACACCUUGACAUUGAGGUUGGCGUUGGACUGUGCAGGAUAGGUGGGAGGCUGUGAAACUGGCUCGUUAGGGUCGGUGGAGCCGACGUUGAGAUACCACCCUGUGCAACGCUGAUCUCUAACUCGCACCCGUCAUCCGGGUGGAAGACAAUGUCAGGCGGGUAGUUUGACUGGGGCGGUCGCCUCCUAAAGCGUAACGGAGGCGUGCGAAGGUUCCCUCAGGCUGUUUGGAAAUCAGCCGCAGAGCGCAAUAGUAUAAGGGAGCUUGACUGCGAGUCAGACACGACGAGCAGGUGCGAAAGCAGGCUAUAGUGAUCCGGUGGUUCCGCAUGGAAGGGCCAUCGCUCAACGGAUAAAAGGUACGCCGGGGAUAACAGGCUGAUCU